rnacentral:rRNA from 1 species
GAUGAACGCUGGCGGCGUGCUUAACACAUGCAAGUCGAACGGAAAGGCUCCUGCUUGCAGGGGUACUCGAGUGGCGAACGGGUGAGUAACACGUGGGUGAUCUGCCCUGCACUUCGGGAUAAGCCUGGGAAACUGGGUCUAAUACCGGAUAGGACGAUGGAUUGGAUGCCAUUGUGGAAAGUUUUUCGGUGUGGGAUGAGCUCGCGGCCUAUCAGCUUGUUGGGGGGGUAAUGGCCUACCAAGGCGUCGACGGGUAGCCGGCCUGAGAGGGUGUACGGCCACAUUGGGACUGAGAGACGGCCCAGACUCCUACGGGAGGCAGCAGUGGGGAAUAUUGCACAAUGGGCGCAAGCCUGAUGCAGCGACGCCGCGUGGGGGAUGACGGCCUUCGGGUUGUAAACUCCUUUCUCUAGGGACGAAGCGCAAGUGACGGUACCUGGAGAAGAAGCACCGGCUAACUACGUG